rnacentral:misc_RNA from 1 species
UCACUACUUGCGUAGGCAGUCUGGCUAGAGUCCCCACCAUGACGUGCUGGUAACUAACCACAGGGGUUGCGCUCGUUGCGCCACUUAAGGCAACACCUCACGGCACGAGCUGACGACAGCCAUGCAGCACCUUCCAUGGUGCCCCGAAGGGACAUCCCGUUUCCGGGACCAUCACCACAGAUUUAGCCCAGGUAAGGUUCUUCGCGUUGCAUCGAAUUAAGCCACAUGCUCCACCGCUUGUGCGGGCCCCCGUCAAUUCCUUUGAGUUUCAUUCUUGCGAACGUACUCCCCAGGUGGUGUGCUUACUGCGUUAACUGCGUCACUGAUCCCGACACGAAGUCGGGACCAACAACUAGCACACAUCGUUUACAGCGUGGACUAC